rnacentral:rRNA from 1 species
GAUAGCUGGUUCUCUCCGAAAUAUAUUUAGGUAUAGCGUUGUGUCGUAAUAUAAGGGGGUAGAGCACUGAAUGGGCUAGGGCAUACACCAAUGUACCAAACCCUAUCAAACUCCGAAUACCUUAUAUGUAAUCACAGCAGUCAGGCGGCGAGUGAUAAAAUCCGUCGUCAAGAGGGAAACAACCCAGACUACCAGCUAAGGUCCCUAAAUCUUACUUAAGUGGAAAACGAUGUGAAGUUACUUAAACAACCAGGAGGUUGGCUUAGAAGCAGCCAUCCUUUAAAGAAAGCGUAAUAGCUCACUGGUCUAGUGAUUUUGCGCGGAAAAUAUAACGGGGCUAAAGUAAGUACCGAAGCUGUAGACUUGCACACAACUUAGAUUAUUUAAGUUUAGAAUAUGAGAAACUAAGUUAUAUGUUUAGUUAUAUUUUUACUGAUUUUUAUAGAGUAAAGAUAGAAAUAAAACUUAGUAAAAUCAGUAAAAAUAUUCUUAGACUAAAGUUAAGUAGUUUAAGUUGUGUGCAAGUGGUAGGAGAGCGUUCUAUUUGCGUCGAAGGUAUACCGGUAAGGAGUGCUGGAGCGAAUAGAAGUGAGCAUGCAGGCAUGAGUAGCGAUAAUUAAUGUGAGAAUCAUUAACGCCGUAAACCCAAGGUUUCCUACGCGAUGCUCGUCAUCGUAGGGUUAGUCGGGUCCUAAGUCGAGUCCGAAAGGGGUAGACGAUGGCAAAUUGGUUAAUAUUCCAAUACCAACAUUAGUGUGCGAUGGAAGGACGCUUAGGGCUAAGGGGGCUAGCGGAUGGAAGUGCUAGUCUAAGGUCGUAGGAGGUUAUACAGGCAAAUCCGUAUAACAAUACUCCGAGAACUGAAAGGCUUUUUGAAGUCUUCGGAUGGAUAGAAGAACCCCUGAUGCCGUCGAGCCAAGAAAAGUUUCUAAGUUUAGCUAAUGUUGCCCGUACCGUAAACCGACACAGGUGGGUGGGAUGAGUAUUCUAAGGCGCGUGGAAGAACUCUCUUUAAGGAACUCUGCAAAAUAGCACCGUAUCUUCGGUAUAAGGUGUGGUUAGCUUUGUAUUAGGAUUUACUCCGAAAGCAAGGAAACUUACAACAAAGAGUCCCUCCCGACUGUUUACCAAAAACACAGCACUCUGCUAACUCGUAAGAGGAUGUAUAGGGUGUGACGCCUGCCCGGUGCUCGAAGGUUAAUUGAUGGGGUUAGCAUUAGCGAAGCUCUUGAUCGAAGCCCGAGUAAACGGCGGCCGUAACUAUAACGGUCCUAAGG